CAAGUAUUUAAUUCAUUUAUUUUCUGGUUAAAAUGAUACUGUUGUUUUUGUUGUUGUGAGCCCUUAUUAGAAUUCUUCCUAAAAAUGGAUGUAUAUUUUUUUCUCCCCUGCCAAUGUGCAGUUUCCUGAUGUUCCUUACUUCUUUCCUGGAUGUCUGGAGUAUUGCACUGCUUCUGAGUCAUGCUCUGGGACAACCACUUGUCACUCGGCCACAUGCUGUUGCAGAAGGUAGCUGGGAAGUGCAUACAAGCCCCAACAAUGUGUGGAAGAUGGGCAGCCAUGAUUCAUAAGGCUGGAGACAGACAGGCAUUAGCUGCUGAUGGUGCUGAUGACCCCUGCACUGGUGAGGAGGGGUCAGCCUUGGAGAAAAUGACCAAGUGGACCUGUUUGAUGGACAUGUGGAGAACUCCACUGUAAACUGUCUCAUACGGAGAAGGAGAAAAGGGAUGAUUCCAGGAGUAGAGUGUGUUCUGAGGGCCAGGCCACUUAAUCUGCAAUAAAGUGGGUCACUUCCUUCUCAUUUUUAAGCCCACACAUGCACACCUCUGUGGUCUCUCAUGGGGCUGUGGCUUCUUUCUGCAGUGCCCUUCAUCUCCCCUCCAUUGGGUGAACCCUGCUUCUCUUCCAAGCUAUUUAAAGACCAAGUUCAAAUACUACUAGGAUGAAGGCUGAAACCUCCCCCGACACCCUCUGCCACCCACCCUGACACC
rnacentral:lncRNA from 1 species